GAGGAGGCGCAGGCGGUUGCGGGCAUUUUGCCUGAGGAAAGUCCGGGCUUCCGAAAGACCGAACCUGCUGGGUAACGCCCAGUGCGCGCGAGCGUGAGGAGAGUGCCACAGAAACAUACCGCCAAUGGAAAGGACAGCUUGAGCCUUUCACAGGUAAGGGUGCAAAGGUGCGGUAAGAGCGCACCAGCAACAUCGAGAGGUGUUGGCUCGGUAAACCCCGGUUGGAAGCAAGGUCGAAGGAGCAAAGGUUGGUCUUUUUCCGGCUCCGGGUAGGAGUGAGUUUCACUUCUGCGUAUUCCGCAUGAGGUGUCUGGUGACAGGCAUCCCAGAUAGAUAACCGCCCUCUGGAUGAGCGAUCGUCUAGGGAACAGAACCCGGCUUAUGUCCGCCUCUUCCCUU
rnacentral:RNase_P_RNA from 1 species